GCUUUCGUAGCUCAAUUGGUCAGAGCAUCCGACUUUUAAUCGGAAGGCUGUGGGUUCGAGUCCCACCGAUAGCG
rnacentral:tRNA from 1 species